rnacentral:rRNA from 3 species
GGUUAAGCGACUAAGCGUACACGGUGGAUGCCCUGGCAGUCAGAGGCGAUGAAGGGCGUGCUAAUCUGCGAUAAGCGCCGGUAAGGUGAUAUGAACCGUUAUAACCGGCGAUACCCGAAUGGGGAAACCCAGUGUGAUUCGUCACACUAUCAUUAACUGAAUCCAUAGGUUAAUGAGGCGAACCGGGGGAACUGAAACAUCUAAGUACCCCGAGGAAAAGAAAUCAACCGAGAUUCCCCCAGUAGCGGCGAGCGAACGGGGAGGAGCCCAGAGCCUGAAUCAGCAUGUGUGUUAGUGGAAGCGUCUGGAAAGGCGCGCGAUACAGGGUGACAGCCCCGUACACAAAAGCGCAUGUGCUGUGAGCUCGAUGAGUAGGGCGGGACACGUGGUAUCCUGUCUGAAUAUGGGGGGACCAUCCUCCAAGGCUAAAUACUCCUGACUGACCGAUAGUGAACCAGUACCGUGAGGGAAAGGCGAAAAGAACCCCGGCGAGGGGAGUGAAAAAGAACCUGAAACCGUGUACGUACAAGCAGUGGGAGCACAGGUUUACCUGUGUGACUGCGUACCUUUUGUAUAAUGGGUCAGCGACUUAUAUUCUGUAGCAAGGUUAACCGUAUAGGGGAGCCGGAGGGAAACCGAGUCUUAAUUGGGCGUUAAGUUGCAGGGUAUAGACCCGAAACCCGGUGAUCUAGCCAUGGGCAGGUUGAAGGUUGGGUAACACUAACUGGAGGACCGAACCGACUAAUGUUGAAAAAUUAGCGGAUGACCUGUGGCUGGGGGUGAAAGGCCAAUCAAACCGGGAGAUAGCUGGUUCUCCCCGAAAGCUAUUUAGGUAGCGCCUCGUGAAUUCAUCUCCGGGGGUAGAGCACUGUUUCGGCUAGGGGGCCAUCCCGGCUUACCAACCCGAUGCAAACUGCGAAUACCGGAGAAUGUUAUCACGGGAGACACACGGCGGGUGCUAACGUCCGUCGUGAAGAGGGAAACAACCCAGACCGCCAGCUAAGGUCCCAAAGUCAUGGUUAAGUGGGAAACGAUGUGGGAAGGCCCAGACAGCCAGGAUGUUGGCUUAGAAGCAGCCAUCAUUUAAAGAAAGCGUAAUAGCUCACUGGUCGAGUCGGCCUGCGCGGAAGAUGUAACGGGGCUAAACCAUGCACCGAAGCUGCGGCAGCGAACGUAUCACCCAAGACAACUUUACGGAGUUGACGAUUGACGGAGCGAAGCGACGUCAAAGCGUUCAUUAAAGUCGAGUUGGCUUAGGGAUACGUUCGUUGGGUAGGGGAGCGUUCUGUAAGCCUGUGAAGGUGUGUCGUGAGGCAUGCUGGAGGUAUCAGAAGUGCGAAUGCUGACAUAAGUAACGAUAAAGCGGGUGAAAAGCCCGCUCGCCGGAAGACCAAGGGUUCCUGUCCAACGUUAAUCGGGGCAGGGUGAGUCGACCCCUAAGGCGAGGCCGAAAGGCGUAGUCGAUGGGAAACGGGUUAAUAUUCCCGUACUUGGUGUUACUGCGAAGGGGGGACGGAGAAGGCUAUGUUGGCCGGGCGACGGUUGUCCCGGUUUAAGCGUGUAGGUGUGUGUUCCAGGUAAAUCCGGUUCACUUUAACACUGAGGCGUGACGACGAGGCACUACGGUGCUGAAGCAACAAAUGCCCUGCUUCCAGGAAAAGCCUCUAAGCAUCAGGUAACAUCAAAUCGUACCCCAAACCGACACAGGUGGUCAGGUAGAGAAUACCAAGGCGCUUGAGAGAACUCGGGUGAAGGAACUAGGCAAAAUGGUGCCGUAACUUCGGGAGAAGGCACGCUGACACGUAGGUGAAGUGAUUUACUCAUGGAGCUGAAGUCAGUCGAAGAUACCAGCUGGCUGCAACUGUUUAUUAAAAACACAGCACUGUGCAAACACGAAAGUGGACGUAUACGGUGUGACGCCUGCCCGGUGCCGGAAGGUUAAUUGAUGGGGUCAGCGCAAGCGAAGCUCCUGAUCGAAGCCCCGGUAAACGGCGGCCGUAACUAUAACGGUCCUAAGGUAGCGAAAUUCCUUGUCGGGUAAGUUCCGACCUGCACGAAUGGCGUAAUGAUGGCCAGGCUGUCUCCACCCGAGACUCAGUGAAAUUGAACUCGCUGUGAAGAUGCAGUGUACCCGCGGCAAGACGGAAAGACCCCGUGAACCUUUACUAUAGCUUGACACUGAACAUUGAGCCUUGAUGUGUAGGAUAGGUGGGAGGCUUUGAAGUGUGGACGCCAGUCUGCAUGGAGCCGACCUUGAAAUACCACCCUUUAAUGUUUGAUGUUCUAACGUGGACCCGUAAUCCGGGUUGCGGACAGUGUCUGGUGGGUAGUUUGACUGGGGCGGUCUCCUCCUAAAGAGUAACGGAGGAGCACGAAGGUUGGCUAAUCCUGGUCGGACAUCAGGAGGUUAGUGCAAUGGCAUAAGCCAGCUUGACUGCGAGCGUGACGGCGCGAGCAGGUGCGAAAGCAGGUCAUAGUGAUCCGGUGGUUCUGAAUGGAAGGGCCAUCGCUCAACGGAUAAAAGGUACUCCGGGGAUAACAGGCUGAUACCGCCCAAGAGUUCAUAUCGACGGCGGUGUUUGGCACCUCGAUGUCGGCUCAUCACAUCCUGGGGCUGAAGUAGGUCCCAAGGGUAUGGCUGUUCGCCAUUUAAAGUGGUACGCGAGCUGGGUUUAGAACGUCGUGAGACAGUUCGGUCCCUAUCUGCCGUGGGCGCUGGAGAACUGAGGGGGGCUGCUCCUAGUACGAGAGGACCGGAGUGGACGCAUCACUGGUGUUCGGGUUGUCAUGCCAAUGGCACUGCCCGGUAGCUAAAUGCGGAAGAGAUAAGUGCUGAAAGCAUCUAAGCACGAAACUUGCCCCGAGAUGAGUUCUCCCUGAGACUUAGAGUCUCCUGAAGGAACGUUGAAGACGACGACGUUGAUAGGCCGGGUGUGUAAGCGCAGCGAUGCGUUGAGCUAACCGGUACUAAUGAACCGUGAGGCUUAACCUU